rnacentral:rRNA from 1 species
AACGAACGCUGGCGGCAGGCUUAACACAUGCAAGUCGAGCGCCCCGCAAGGGGAGCGGCAGACGGGUGAGUAACGCGUGGGAAUCUACCCAUCACUACGGAACAACUCCGGGAAACUGGAGCUAAUACCGUAUACGUCAUUCGGGAGAAAGAUUUAUCGGUGAUGGAUGAGCCCGCGUUGGAUUAGCUAGUUGGUGGGGUAAUGGCCUACCAAGGCGACGAUCCAUAGCUGGUCUGAGAGGAUGAUCAGCCACACUGGGACUGAGACACGGCCCAGACUCCUACGGGAGGCAGCAGUGGGGAAUAUUGGACAAUGGGCGAAAGCCUGAUCCAGCCAUGCCGCGUGAGUGAUGACGGCCCUAGGGUUGUAAAGCUCUUUCGCAGGUGAAGAUAAUGACGGUAACCUGAGAAGAAGCCCCGGCUAACUUCGUGCCAGCAGCCGCGGUAA